UUCAUUUAUUGGUUUAAAGUGCUUUCGAGUUCUAACGGGGAGAAAGGGAUCGAAUAAAGAUACGUCCUUUUAAAACGUGUCAUGUUUUCUUCUAUUAAGAACAAAAAUACAAAAGUUCAACAUCAUGUUUUUUUUGUAGAAUCUACUAGCGAUGUACUUAAACUAUUUUAAAAAAUCAUAACUGUUGAAAAUGGCGGCGGGAAGGAGACCGAGGAUCCAUCAGAAAAAAAAGUUUUUUAAAAAGCUCAUUUAUGUCUGCCUCCCAAAAAAAUCUACUUUUGCUGUUGCCUGGAAAUGUGGGAAAAGAAGUGUUGCUGUUGAGUGCUUCCUUCACAUGUUACGUAACCGAUCAUCUCUCAACAUUGUGUGGAUUUGAAAAGACAAGGGACAGUUCGCUGCGGAGCUGUGUAACGAUACUUAGUGAUAUUUUGCUAUCCUGAUGCAUGGAGUGGGAAAAUGACUAGAACUUCGAAAGGUGAUGUCGUUCUUCGAGUUUUUCUGCCCAGAAUCCAAAUCAAUGUAGUUUGUUUAAUUUCACAUACCAAACAAACCUAUUGACAUGCAAUAAUAACUGGGGUUAGUUUGCAUUUGCUAAUUGAGUACUUUUUUAAAAAAGGCAAAGUCUAAAGUUGUUAAACAGGGGUGAAGGGACACUGCUGACUACAGCCUCAGCUGUGAGAAUCAAGCAACGAUACAUAGUCCGGCUCCUAUAACUAUGUUGUGUUCGAUGGGGCAUUCCCAAUCUCACCACCACCCCACCCCCGCUCAAUGGAGUAAAUAUCAGCAUUCCCUACCCCUGGAAGAAAGGGUGCCAGCUCCGAAACGCUGCCGACCUGACACAUUAUACUCUUUCUCCUGAAACCUUGGAAUUCUCCUGAACCAUUAGAUGCACAUUGAACAAAAUGCACAAUAAACAAAUGAUCGUUGACAAGCUCUUCUCAAGAAUUAUGACUGAUUUAUGUUCUGACAAUUAACUGGCAGGAGAUAAAUCACUUCGAGCUGAGAUAAAAAUGAGAACUGAAUGCAGAUUUCCAACUUCUGUUUUUCAGUACUUUCAAUUGAUUUUUAAAUUGUAUUUUUGUUAACAGUUGUGAAGUAAUCUACAAAUUCUGAGACGCUACUGAUUUAUUUCUGCAAUUCGAUUUUCUUGCAACAAGUCCUCGCAUGAGCGAAUUGGGAGUGGUUAUCGCACCCGGCAAGGUGCACAAACCCCUGUAAACAGACUGACAGAUCGGGUUUGACCUCGAACUGCUAUGGUGGCCUAAUACUGAUAAUGGAGAUGUAUUAAAUAUAAGAACUAAAAAAACUAUCCUCAAUUAGUGUAGAAAAGGAGUUGGACGUUAAAUGUUUAUGUUAACCAACCUCAGCCUUGUCUUAGAAAACUUAGCUUUAAACGCUGCUAUUUCAUUAAGUUGCAAAAAGUCAGCUUUUAAAGCUUAGAUCUUAGCAAAAUUUAGAUCUUCAAUCAUUCCUUUUAUCUGCCGGAGCAGUUCCACUAGUGGUCAGCUAUCACUGAUUUAGCAAAGGGAGCAACCUAAAUUUCAUUUUAACAUUUUACAAGCAUUGGUGGUGUAGAACACCAACGUCCCUCACUGAGGUCUCAAUGGCUUACAGCUGAUAAUGAAACAUUCUGUUGUCAUAUUUGUUAUUCCCUAUUAUUACAAAUUUCGGCUCUUGAGUCACAUUGUGUGAUGUUUUAACGAGCGUGCCAUAAAUACCAGUCUUUUAGUUAGCAGAGAUGUUAAUCUGUCUUUUUAAAACGUUAGCGUGUCUUCUAAAAUAACAGUGAAAUUUCAAAUUAGUGAACUAAACCUUAGUACAUGAAUGUACUACUGUAAUUUCUGUGCUUUAUGUUCAAGUACGACAACCAAUAACAUAGAUGUAAAAAUUUAAAUCUUAACUUGAUAUUGUUCAGGCUACACGGCUGCAACAGAUACAAAACUGAAGCUGGCUGGAAUCACUUAGAUGUACGGGAAUGAAUCAGAAUAGGAUGCGAACAUUUAGCCCAAUUUGUCUUUAGUUGGUUCUGAAGAAGCCAUUCAUCUGUAGAGAAAGAUUGCAUUGACAAGUAUUAAUCUGUAAAUGCACUGAUUAUCUUGUGAUGAUGCUAUGCAAAAAAUGCAGUAAAAUUUCAGAUAAAACAAAAGAAACUGGUAGCAUUGGCUAUUUUGUAAAUCAGAUUAGCAAUCAAUGAGUGUAAUUUAUCCUGUAAAUACAUCUUAGAAGAUAAAAUACUGCAGUGGUUACUAAAAAAACUUUCGCUGCAAACAGGUCAGUCUCUGGUUGUUUGCAAAGAAAACUAUCUUGAAAAAUGAUGUUCAAUACAUUUGUGAACUUGUUUUCAUGCAUUUUGACCGAGCAAUUGCAUGCAGUUUAGAAGAUUAUCUAUUUGUUUAUUUUUUUAAGCGGGGGAACAGAACUGUGAAUGCUGGAAAUCAGAAACAAUAUCAAAUAUUGCUGGAUAAACUCAGCAGGUCUGGCAACACGUGCUGAGAGAAAGCAAAGUUAACAUUUUGGGUCCAGUGAUACUUCAGAACUGUUUCUCCUUUGAUUCACUUGUUGAAAAUGUUUUCAUUGAUGUCACUUCACUGUGACAUGCAAAAAUAAUAUUUGCAUUUAAUGAUUAAACAAUUACGUAAAUAAUUUAUAACAGAAAUGCAGUUAUUUUUCAUUUUAUAAAUUGGCUCUAAUUGUAUUAAUGGCUUAAAAAUGGCAAAUCAUGGGGAAAGCAAACAUUGCAGCAUUUUAUUCUUGUGGAACAAAUUGUACAAUUAAGGGGCAUAUGCGUGUUGUGGGGUCAUUAAUGCAAUUGCUUACAUGACUUAAAGCAGAAAUAAAUCUCGACAAUAUUAAUCUGCUUAUUAAAAAAAACACUGCUUUGAUUAAAAGAACAAAUCAAAAAAAUUCUUCAUCCCCUAAACAGAGCUAGGAAAGAUUGGGAUUGAACUAUUUGAAGUAAUUGUUAGAAGAAUAUUGGUAGAUGUACAAGAGGAAAGGAAAUUAGAAAAUCUUAAGGCCUUUAUUAUUCUACAUGUCAUAUUAUGUUUGUAGAAUACAAUGCUGAAUGACAGAUCUGUGUUACUGCAAGCACCUACAUUUCCUAUUGACUAGAGAAAUGACUUGGUGCAUUUAUAUUUAUACUUAUGUUCCAAGAUCCAUUUAUAGAUGUCUAGAUAGGAAUAUAGGCACAAGAGUAGGCCGUUCAGUCCCUUUAGCCUGUUCUAUCAUUUUAUUAGAUUACAGCUUGAUUUGUUUUUUUUUUGCCCAGCUAAAAUCUUAUAAAUCCUAAAUUGGAAAAUUUUCAUUUAUCCUUUUCAGAACAUGUUCCAGAUUUUUAUCAUCCUACGAGAUGAUCAAAUUUGAAUUUUGGAAAUGGGCCAGUACGUCAGCUGAGAUAACAAGGUGUAGAGCUGGAUGAACACAGCAGGCCAAGCAGCAUCAGAGGAACAGGAAGGCUGAUGUUUCGGGCCUAGACUCUUCUUCAGAAAUCUAGGCCUGAACUGUAAGCCUUUCUGCUCCUGUGAUGCUGCUUGGCCUGCUGUGUUCAUGCAGCACUACACCUCGUUAUCUCAGAUUGUCCAGCAUCUGAAGUUCCUACUAUCUCUGAAACAGUUUUAACCCCAAUACAACAGUUGGCUGUUCACCUUACUAAACAUAAACUUUUGAAAAAUCAUUUAAACUUCAAAAUGUUUUAAACAUGUUGCAAUUCAUCAUGUAUCUGAGCUGGACAAACCAGAAAAUUACUGGUUUGGUUUGGAUUGAGUUAACUGAUUCCAGCCAGUGUAGAGCUGUAAUUGGCCUCAGUGACCUUGAACUAAAAAUGGAAAUUUUUUGGCCAUGACUUUGGCUCUUGACAGCAAUCCCAGCUGUGUGGGUUUGUGAAGUCAAAUGAGGACAGGAUUUUGUUCAAUUGCGAUGCUGUUUAGGUUGAAUAGUUUGUUAAAAGUCACUGUCAAGGGUCAUAUAUAGAUAUUGGUCAGAUGGUAUCUCAGGCCAUGAUUUGAAGUUCAGAAAGUAAUCUUUAGGAGAUAACAGCUGGAACAUGAAGAGGCAGCAUUAUGCUACCUUCUGGAAAUGUCAACCACCUUGUGAAAGUGCACACCAGGUGACCUUAAACCUAAAUAACAUGACAAAGAUAAUAUCAGUGCAAUGCAGAAAUCACUUCACUGCACGUAAUAGCUGUACCAUCUAACCAGUAAUGAAUAAGAAUUAUAACUACCCAAUAUGACAUUGUAAUAACCAGGCCCUGACUGUAUAUUGAUUUGGUAGCAUAAACCAGAAAGUGCUGGAGAAACACAGCAGAUCUCACUAAGUUCUGAUGAAGGGUCACUGGAUUUGAAAUGUUAACUCUAAUUUUCUGUCCACAGAUGCUGCCAGUCCUGCUGAGUUUCUCCAGCACUUUGUUUUGUUUCAGAUCUCCAGCAUUCACAGUUUUUUGAUUUAUAUUAUUGAUUUGAUUAAAUUUUUAUUAGGAAAGCAUACAUUUGGUAGAAUUUUCACCAUGUUAGAGGAUAUUCUGGUAGAAAGAAAAAUUACAGUACAUAUUGUGUAUUAAUUACAAUCAUCACCAAAUUACGCAGACAUUCCUGUAAAAUCAUGAUUUACAAACUGCUACAGAAGUUGAGAAGAAUGAUAAAGUAUUAGAAAUUAAUUGGAACUGUGCCUAAUUCAGUUGAAAAAUGCACACCACAUCAUCCAAUAUGUGGCUGGGUGGCGCAUGCUCACACAUUUUAUACUUAACAUAUUGGAAAACCUCCAGUUUUGACAUGCAGGAUCUAACUGCAAAACAGGCACCAUGCAAAUGGUGGAGUAAGGCAAGAUGGAGGUUGGGGCAGUAAACUUGUUUUAGAUCAGCAUUUUAAAAUUAGAUCCAUAGAACACAGCUUGCGCUAUGCCUAGUCAGCUAAGUAAUGCCAAUAUAUAGCCUAACCAGCAGCCCUAAAGGGGUAAUUGGAGGAUUUCACCAAAAAGCAAAUAUGAAAAAGAUACUUACUUGCCAGCCCAUCUCCAUUAUUGUCCUGAAGAACAGUGCCAGCCCUUGUUUAAACCCUUCCUGACUGUCUCUCUAUGCACCCCACCCCACUCCUCUUCCCCCAUUACUUUCUCCCCAGCCGUAGGUAGCUGAAGUAAGUCUAACAUUAUAGUAUGGAUGAGCAGAUUCUCAAUGUUCAAUUGACCUCUGCACCUCACUUGCAAUAUAUUAAUGAGGUGUGAGACUCAAUUUCAUGUGAAUGCUAGGUCUCUGAUUUCUGGUGUGCAGUCGUAGAAUACUACCUAUUUCUGAUGUGAAAUCUUGCAAAACAAAUUUCUAUGUUAAAAUAUUUUAACUAUGGAUUAUCUAUUGUUGACAUAUUAAACCAUAAAAUGAAAUGUUCCCUGUUCAAAAUAUUAGAAAAAUCGUUUAAUUUUGUGAUUUUGUUUAUUUUCUGGGUUUGAUUGAAAAGUUAAUGUUAUAUUUUAUUGGUGAAAACAAUAAGAAAUUAAUG